UACGUAGGUGGCAAGCGUUAUCCGGAUUUAUUGGGUGUAAAGGGCGUGUAGGCGGGAAAGCAAGUCAGAUGUGAAAACUCAGGGCUCAACCCUGAGCCUGCAUUUGAAACUGUUUUUCUUGAGUGCUGGAAAGGCAAUCGGAAUUCCGUGUGUAGCGGUGAAAUGCGUAGAUAUACGGAGGAACACCAGUGGCGAAGGCGGAUUGCUGGACAGUAACUGACGCUGAGGCGCGAAAGCGUGGGGAGCAAACAGG
rnacentral:rRNA from 1 species